rnacentral:rRNA from 1 species
CCAAGUUUCUGCCCUAUCAUGCUUUCGAUGGUAGUGUAUUGGACUACCAUGGCUCUCACGGGUAACGGGGAAUUAGGGUUCGAUUCCGGAGAAGGAGCCUGAGAAACGGCUACUACAUCUACGGAAGGCAGCAGGCGCGUAAAUUACC